UACGUAGGGUGCGAGCGUUAAUCGGAAUUACUGGGCGUAAAGCGUGCGCAGGCGGCUUUGCAAGACAGAUGUGAAAUCCCCGGGCUCAACCUGGGAACUGCAUUUGUGACUGCAAAGCUGGAGUGCGGCAGAGGGGGAUGGAAUUCCGCGUGUAGCAGUGAAAUGCGUAGAUAUGCGGAGGAACACCGAUGGCGAAGGCAAUCCCCUGGGCCUGCACUGACGCUCAUGCACGAAAGCGUGGGGAGCAAACAGG
rnacentral:rRNA from 1 species